rnacentral:rRNA from 1 species
GAUGAACGCUAGCGGCAGGCCUAACACAUGCAAGUCGAACGGUAACAGAAAAAAGCUUGCUUUUUUGCUGACGAGUGGCGCACGGGUGCGUAACGCGUAUACAAUCUGCCUCUUACAGGGAGAUAGCCUUUAGAAAUGAAGAUUAAUACCCCAUAGUAUGUUUACAUCGCAUGAUAUAAACAUUAAAGUUUCGGCGGUAAGAGAUGAGUAUGCGUUCUAUUAGCUAGAUGGUGUGGUAACGGCACACCAUGGCAACGAUAGAUAGGGGCCCUGAGAGGGGGAUCCCCCACACUGGUACUGAGACACGGACCAGACUCCUACGGGAGGCAGCAGUGAGGAAUAUUGGACAAUGGGCGCAAGCCUGAUCCAGCCAUGCCGCGUGCAGGAAGACUGCCCUAUGGGUUGUAAACUGCUUUUAUAUAGGAAGAAACCUUUCUACGUGUAGAGAGCUGACGGUACUAUAAGAAUAAGGAUCGGCUAACUCCG